rnacentral:rRNA from 1 species
ACGUAGGAGGCGAGCGUUAUCCGGAUUCACUGGGCGUAAAGCGCGUGCAGGCGGUUCGGUAAGGUUUUCUGGCCCUCUCCCUUCUCCCCUUUUCUCUUUCUUUCAAUACUCCCGGACUUGAGAGCGAUAGAGGAAAAUGGAAUUCCCGGUGUAGUGGUGAAAUGCGUAGAUAUCGGGAGGAACACCAGUGGCGAAAGCGAUUUUCUGGAUCGUUUCUGACGCUCAGACGCGAAAGCUAGGGUAGCAAACGG